rnacentral:tRNA from 1 species
UCGGUUUAGUAUAUAUAGUGCGUGGGAUUGUAGCUCCUGAGGAGGAUUGAGUUUCGGCCGAAGU